GUAGGGAAUCUUGCGCAAUGGGCGAAAGCCUGACGCAGCCAUGCCGCGUGAAUGAUGAAGGUCUUAGGAUUGUAAAAUUCUUUCACCGGGGACGAUAAUGACGGUACCCGGAGAAGAAGCCCCGGCUAACUUCGUGCCAGCAGCCGCGGUAAUACGAAGGGGGCUAGCGUUGCUCGGAAUUACUGGGCGUAAAGGGCGCGUAGGCGGACAGCUUAGUCAGAGGUGAAAGCCCAGGGCUCAACCUUGGAAUUGCCUUUGAUACUGGCUGUCUUGAGUUUGGGAGAGGUGAGUGGAACUCCGAGUGUAGAGGUGAAAUUCGUAGAUAUUCGGAAGAACACCAGUGGCGAAGGCGACUCACUGGCCCAAUACUGACGCUGAGGCGCGAAAGCGUGGGGAGCAAACAGGAUUAGAAACCCUGGUAGUCC
rnacentral:rRNA from 1 species